UAAAGGAAUUGGCGGGGGAGCACCACAAGGGGUGAAGCCUGCGGUUCAAUUGGAGUCAACGCCAGAAAUCUUACCCGGAGAGACAGCAGAAUGAAGGUCAAGCUGAAGACUUUACCAGACAAGCUGAGAGGUGGUGCAUGGCCGUCGCCAGCUCGUGCCGUGAGAUGUCCUGUUAAGUCAGGUAACGAGCGAGAUCCCUGCCUCUAGUUGCCACCAUUACUCUCAGGAGUAGUGGGGCGAAUUAGCGGGACCGCCGCAGUUAAUGCGGAGGAAGGAAGGGGCCACGGUAGGUCCGUAUGCCCCGAAUCCCCUGGGCAACACGCGGGCUACAAUGGCUAAGACAAUGGGUUCUGACAUUGAAAGGUGGAGGUAAUCCCCUAAACUUGGUCGUAGUUCGGAUUGAGGGCUGUAACUCGCCCUCAUGAAGCUGGAAUGCGUAGUAAUCGUGUGUCAUAAUCGCACGGUGAAUAUGUCCCUGCUCCUUGCACACACCGCCA
rnacentral:rRNA from 1 species